AUCUUUCAUAUCUCUCUCUUUUAAUGUCUUUUCUUCUCGAUUUCUCUUCAUAAUGGCUUUUUCUUCAAAAUCUUUAUCUAUGGCAUCCGCUCGGCGCACGUUUUACGAAUGAAUCAUCGUUUCUUUAACUUCAAAAUGUAACUUGGUGAAUUUAUGAGAAAUUCCUUUUCUUCUUCUUCUUCUUUUCUUCUUUUCCUUCUUUAAAGAAUUUGAACUAGGUAUAUAACCUUCAAAUUAGGAAAAGAUUUCAACCUGUUCAUAGGUGGCGUUCGUCAGGAUUUUCUCUAUGUCUCUACACGGAGAAAGUUAUAAGGUUAUCUUUCUAGACGACUACCAUUUAGUUGGUCCUGUACCACUGCUUACUCCAGUUGUCGAUGCUAUGAAAGGAUUCGUUGAAGCAGCUAGGAGGG